CAUCGGAAGAAGGACAAGAAAGCUUCAACAGCAAUAAUGGCAAUAGCUUCAUCUUUACACUCCCAAAAUUAAGGAGGGUUGAAUUGCAUGGGUUGCCAAAACUGAAAAGCAUAUGUAGUGGAGAAAUAGUAUGCGAUUCUCUCCAAACAAUUGGAGUACGGAAUUGUCUAAAUCUUGAGAGGAUAGCACUCUCUCUUUUCUUGCGUGACCAUAGCCAGCUGUCCCCUCUCCCUUCUCUCCGAGCUAUCAUCAUUUAUCCCAGAGCAUCGUGGGAGUUGAUUGAGUUUGACCAUUCUGACGCCAAGAAUGUCCUCUUACACCUUUGCCUCUUCCCUGGCCGCGAAAAUUAUUUAUCUCAUUUUUUGUCAGAAAUUAUAUUCUUAUGAUAUUUUGUAAAAUAAUUGAAGCAGGACAUAAGACAUGUUAUAAGAUGGAGUUUCAUCAGCCAAUGGGAGUAGGAGUGUGAGGUCUCCAUAUUUGAAGGUGUGGUUAUAAGUUUGAGCGAGCGAAAUCGGAGAUCACUAUCUCGAAGAACGAUGGCCAGGAAGUUUUUCGUCGGCGGCAACUGAAAAUGUGCGAGUUUCCAUCCAUCAUUUCCUUUUUAUUUUAUUUAAUUUUCAUUUUAUAUUUUUCAUAUCUGAUCAUUUAUAUCUGUACUCUUGCAUGUGUUUGAUCAAUCUGAGGAAUAUGAAAUUCUUUGUUCUUUUAGUGUCUUGAAAACCAAGUGGAGCACUGUUUUUGUUUAGCUGAUAAUUU
rnacentral:misc_RNA from 1 species